GCUUGAUGUCCUUUGAUCUAAAUCUGAGGCCAUUUCAACACGUCACUUCAUUCUCUGUGACCGCUCUCUCCUUCUCAUUAUUUCUAACAUAUUUUCUUCUCGGUUUGUUUUCUUUAGUUAAAACCCUAACCUGUUUUCUUUGGAUUGAACUGUAGUUUAAGUAAUUAUCAGAGGAUCGUCACAUAGAAAGCAGUUCCACGAUGUAAAAGAUUCCAUCUUUCGAAAGAGGCAAUAAUGCUAUUGUUAUUUCUGGGGUUGAAAAUUAGGGCAUGAGGAAACUCGACUCACAUCUUUGCGGGGCAAACCCGGAAUAUGUAACUGGUUCAUUUUGCAGCCAUGACAUUGUCGUCUUCUCUUAGCCCCAUUUUACAUGGAUCUGAGCCUUAAAUUCAAAUGAUCACUGCGGAUUCUCCAGAAUCUGGAUCCAGUAGCUGGUUUGAUGGAGACCCAGUUCGUUUUCAGCUCGAAAGAAUGAGGCCAUCGAAGAAAAUGCAGAUUUUUCAGGAUGUCUGACCAUCUACAAUAUGUCAAUGAUUUCUUCUAGAAAGUAUGGUGGCUCUGUCAAUUAAAUGCCCAAAAUUCAGUGGAUAAUUUUCAUAUUCCAUAGGGGGGCAGUCUUAAUUCAUCGACCAAAGAUAGAAAAAUGGAUAAUAAAGAAGCUUCAAAAGCGUUGAUGCUCUAACUUCGAUGGCUUCUUCAUCUGACAAAUCUGUUUCUACAUCUGAGAUGAUGGAUAAUAAAGAGGCUGCAAAGGUUAUUGAUGCGCUCUCAUUGACUCCUUCCUUAUCCAACGCUUCAAUUUCAGCUUCACAGCACUUUUUGCUAAAUAUUGCCGAGAAGUUGGACACCGCCAUUUUUAAGAUGUAAAUAGUAUAACAUGUAAUAUGUAAUGUAAAUAAUGCUACAGUUGAUGUAAACAUUAUAACAAUUGCCAAC